CAGUAGCCACGGGAAUACGUAGGGCGCAAGCGUUGUCCGGAAUUAUUGGGCGUAAAGAGCUCGUAGGCGGUCUGUCGCGUCUGGUGUGAAAUCCCGAGGCUCAACCUCGGGCUUGCAUCGGGUACGGGCAGACUAGAGUGCGGUAGGGGAGACUGGAAUUCCUGGUGUAGCGGUGGAAUGCGCAGAUAUCAGGAGGAACACCGAUGGCGAAGGCAGGUCUCUGGGCCGCAACUGACGCUGAGGAGCGAAAGCAUGGGGAGCGAACAGGAUUAGAUACCCGAGUAGUCCCUGUCUCUUAUAC
rnacentral:rRNA from 1 species